UCAAACGUUGAACUUUUCAUGUGCCGAACCUAAUGUUAAUGAGCUAAGUUCUUUGUUUCACUUCAUUUGCAUUAGGUUCGGCACAUGAAAAGUUCGACGUUUGACC